UGAGGAAUAUUGGUCAAUGGACGCAAGUCUGAACCAGCCAUGCCGCGUGAAGGAUGAAGGCGUUCUGCGUUGUAAACUUCUUUUAUUGGGGAAGAAACCUCUUUAUUCUUAGAGAGCCGACGGUACCCAAGGAAUAAGCACCGGCUAACUCCGUGCCAGCAGCCGCGGUAAUACGGAGGGUGCAAGCGUUAUCCGGAUUUACUGGGUUUAAAGGGUGUGUAGGCGGACUAUUAAGUCAGUGGUGAAAUCCCGAGGCUCAACCUCGGAACUGCCUUUGAUACUAUUAGUCUUGAAUGUUGUUGAGGUGGGCGGAACGGGUCAUGUAGCGGUGAAAUGCAUAGAUAUGACCCGGAACACCGAUUGCGAAGGCAGCCCGCUAAGCAACUAUUGACGCUGAGGCACGAAAGCGUGGGGAUCAAACAG
rnacentral:rRNA from 1 species